UGGCCGCGAUGCCCAGCGGCGCCGCGUAGCUCGCAAAACCAAAGGCUCGCAUCCGGCAUCUCCCCUCGAUCCUACCCUAAAAAAAAAUCUCCCCUCGAUCCACCCCGCCGGCCGGCGGCUCGCCACUCCGCUCCGCCUCCGAAGCCGCCGGCACCACUUCGUCUUCGUCUCCGCUCCAUCUCCGCCGACGCCGGCACCACCCCCACCAACCCAGCGGAGCGUCCACUCCAGCGGCGACUCGAGCACCGAAUCCGUCUCGAUUUGUUGCGGCUCAGCGCGCGCAAGAUCUAUUGGUAUCUGUGUAGGAGGCGUAUCCAUGGUGUCUCCGUCCGCUCGUGUGCCAUCGCAAAGAAUGGUUCCAGGCCUCCUUGCUGCUUCCCCUGGCCCUACUACUCCUACCUUCGUUGCAGCACCCAUCCCUUCCCAGGUCCCUGAACCCCAUCGUCAAGAACAGGGAGGAAUCUAGACAACAGGGAAAAAA